rnacentral:rRNA from 1 species
UGAGCCGUGGCUUUCGGAGCUAACGCGUUAAGUAGACCGCCUGGGGAGUACGGUCGCAAGAUUAAAACUCAAAUGAAUUGACGGGGGCCCGCACAAGCGGUGGAGCAUGUGGUUUAAUUCGAUGCAACGCGAAGAACCUUACCUACUCUUGACAUCCAGAGAAGCCAGCGGAGACGCAGGUGUGCCUUCGGGAGCUCUGAGACAGGUGCUGCAUGGCUGUCGUCAGCUCGUGUUGUGAAAUGUUGGGUUAAGUCCCGCAACGAGCGCAACCCUUAUCCUUGUUUGCCAGCGAGUAAUGUCGGGAACUCCAGGGAGACUGCCGGUGAUAAACCGGAGGAAGGUGGGGACGACGUCAAGUCAUCAUGGCCCUUACGAGUAGGGCUACACACGUGCUACAAUGGCGCAUACAGAGGGCAGCAAGCUAGCGAUAGUGAGCGAAUCCCAAAAAGUGCGUCGUAGUCCGGAUUGGAGUCUGCAACUCGACUCCAUGAAGUCGGAAUCGCUAGUAAUCGUAGAUCAGAAUGCUACGGUGAAUACGUUCCCGGGCCUUGUACACACCGCCCGUCACACCAUGGGAGUGGGCUGCAAAAGAAGUGGGUAGUUUAACCUUUCGGGGAGGACGCUCACCACUUUGUGGUUCAUGACUGGGGUGAAGUCGUAACAAGGUAGCCCUAGGGGAACCUGGGGCUGGAUCACCUCCUUAUACGAAGAUA